GGCAAGCAUGGUGUAGUGGUUUGUGUGUUGGACUAUGACUCUGGAGACCAGGGUUCAAUUCCCUGCUUGGCU